AUCGUCCUAAAGCAUCACAUUCCUGUUCCGAUGCAACGAGCUGAUGUUUCUGCUGCUGGACGGCGCCGCGCGACAGGAAGUCAAAACAAAAGCCCGUCUACCAAACGCCACCCAUCGGCAUGCUGGGUAAUGGAUCGGAGGAAAUCAUCGAGCAUUCGACUUCGGAGAGCGAAGCGUGUUAGAUUUACUCCUCCUGGUGGUUCGGAACCACAUCUGGAGUGAAAGAGAAGAUGUUUGCCCUGAAUGCAGAUGUUGUUGUCUGAUGGCGUCAGAGAGGAAACGAGCGCCUCGGCAGACCAGAUAAGCCCCGAUCUGAUGCGUGUGAGGAACACGGGGAUGCUGGAUGGUACGUCGUACAUUAUCACUCCACAUGGAUGUGCACCCGUUCUCUCUCUGCCGCCGCCGCCGCCGCCUGCUUCCUCCGGCGCUCCGUCCUCUCACGGCUGAAGCUGUGAGCCGCAACAAAAGGUCUCUGUUGGAGAAAAGAAGCGGCGUGCUGCGUCUCCGGGGGGGGGGGGUGAAUGGAUGCAGAAGGCCGUCUUCAGUUGGUAAAAGCGGAGAGAAAAGGAAGAGUCUGCUCUUUGACCCGAGGGAGGACGGACGGACACGAGCGCCGCGUGUCUCCUUUGCUUUAAGGAACC
ensembl:lncRNA